rnacentral:rRNA from 1 species
GCCCUAGUAACGGCGAGUGAAGCGGCAACAGCUCAAAUUUGAAAGCUGGCUUAGGCCCGCAUUGUAAUUUGCAGAGGAUGCUUCUGGCGAGGUGCCUUCCGAGUUCCCUGGAACGGGACGCCAUAGAGGGUGAGAGCCCCGUAUGGAUGGACACCAGACCUGUGUGAAGCUCCUUCAACGAGUCGAGUAGUUUGGGAAUGCUGCUCUAAAUGGGAGGUAAAUCUCUUCUAAAGCUAAAUACCGGCCAGAGACCGAUAGCGCACAAGUAGAGUGAUCGAAAGAUGAAAAGCACCUUGAAAAGGGGGUUAAACAGUACGUGAAAUUGUUGAAAGGGAAGCGCUUGUGACCAGACUUGCGCCGGGCAGCUCAUCAGGGGUUCUCCCCUGUGCACUCUGCCCGGCUCAGGCCAGCAUCGGUUCUCGUGGGAGGAUAAGAACGGUAGGAACGUGGCCCCCCUCCGGGGGGGUGUUAUAGCCUGCCGUACGAUACUCCCGUGGGGACCGAGGUUCGCGCUCCGCAAGGAUGCUGGCGUAAUGGUCAUCAGCGACCCGUCUUGAAACACGGACCAAGGAGUCGUCCAUUAGAGCGAGCGUUUGGGUGUAAAACCCGCACGCGUAAUGAAAGUGAACGCAGGUGAGAGCUUCGGCGCAUCAUCGACCGAUCCUGAUGUCUUCGGAUGGAUUUGAGUAAGAGUUUUAACGGACGGACCCGAAAGACAGUGAACUAUGCUUGUAUAGGGUGAAGCCAGAGGAAACUCUGGUGGAGGCUCGCAGCGGUUCUGACGUGCAAAUCGAUCGUCAAAUAUGAGCA